rnacentral:lncRNA from 8 species
UCUUCAUUUUCCAAAACGGAACAGUUUAGACUGUGGACACAGUUUUGGGUGUUUAGCCUAAAUUUAACGGGUUUCUGGCGACGUGAAAUUAUCUCAUCCCCGGUAACUGACAUCAACACUAUACGAUUAUCUCGUAUUGCUUGUGGAAGAGUCUUAUCAUCUUCGUUUUAUUCCAUUUUCUAUUUUAUUUUCCAAACCAAUGGUCUGGGAACGGACCGCCUCACCCGACACAUAGUAUUUUAUUUAGACGUGUCAGCUUCGUCUAGUGCUUUGAACGAGGACAACAUUACAGAAUUGCAAGGGGAAAUUGUCAUCGAGAGGCUUUUGCACAAAAAUACUGAGUGGAAAGUUUGUUGCCGGAUAGGGAAUAAAUCGGAGACAUCUCGGCCAUAUCCACGGGAUUUUUCCCUAAGGCCUGGUAUCCCCCUGGACUGGGUUGUGGCAGUGGGGUGGCUGAACUUGGUGACCCCUUCCCCUCCCAGACACAGCUUCUCCUCAUGUGGCCCCUGGCCAAACUCGCUCUCAAAGACCACCAUUCAGUUCUGCACCGCCGCAGCGCAGCUCUGUGUUUGUGUAAGUAUGUGUAUGAGUGAGUGAGUGUGGGUAUGUGUGGGGGUGUGUGUGUGACAGAGAGAAAGCGAGAGAGAAAGAGAGAGAGUGAGUGUGUGUUUUAGAGAGAGAGAGAGAGAAAGGAGAGGGAGAGAGAAGCCGGGGCAGGAUUUGUGGAAAUUACAGUAGGAUAAUUGCUUGUGUGUGUGUGUGUGUGUGUGUGUGUGUGUGUGUGUGUGUGUGUGUGUGUGUGUGUGUGUGUGUGUGUGUGUGUCUGUGUCAGCUGGGGGUGGGAAUAGAUCAGUGUGUGUAUUAGAGCUGUGUGGCAGAAAUAUAGACAGUACUGUGACUGAGAGAGGAGAGAGAGAGAGGGACAGAGAGAAAAAUUGAAAUUGAAUUGAGAGAGAGAUAGAUGGAGAGAGAGAGAGAGAGAGAACAAGCGAGCAAUUGAGAGAGAAAGA